rnacentral:rRNA from 1 species
UACCAGCACCCCGAGUGGUCGGGACGUUUUAUUGGGCCUAAAGCAUCCGUAGCCGGUUCUACAAGUCUUCCGUUAAAUCCAACUGCUUAACAGGUGGGCUGCGGAAGAUACUAUAGAGCUAGGAGGCGGGAGAGGCAAGCGGUACUCGAUGGGUAGGGGGUAAAAAUCCGUUGAUCCAUUGAAGACCACCAGUGGCGAAGGCGGCUUGCCAGAACGCGCUCGACGGUGAGGGAUGAAAGCUGGGGGGAGCAAACCGG